rnacentral:rRNA from 1 species
AGCGGAGGAAAAGAAACCAACAGGGAUUGCCCUAGUAACGGCGAGUGAAGCGGCAACAGCUCAAAUUUGAAAUCUGGCUCUUUCAGAGUCCGAGUUGUAAUUUGCAGAGGGCGCUUUGGCUUUGGCAGCGGUCCAAGUUCCUUGGAACAGGACGUCACAGAGGGUGAGAAUCCCGUACGUGGUCGCUAGCUAUUGCCGUGUAAAGCCCCUUCGACGAGUCGAGUUGUUUGGGAAUGCAGCUCUAAAUGGGAGGUAAAUUUCUUCUAAAGCUAAAUAUUGGCCAGAGACCGAUAGCGCACAAGUAGAGUGAUCGAAAGAUGAAAAGCACUUUGGAAAGAGAGUCAAACAGCACGUGAAAUUGUUGAAAGGGAAGCGCUUGCAGCCAGACUUGCUUGCAGUUGCUCAUCCGGGCUUUUGCCCGGUGCACUCUUCUGUAGGCAGGCCAGCAUCAGUUUGGGCGGUGGGAUAAAGGUCUCUGUCACGUACCUCUCUUCGGGGAGGCCUUAUAGGGGAGACGACAUACCACCAGCCUAGACUGAGGUCCGCGCAUCUGCUAGGAUGCUGGCGUAAUGGCUGUAAGCGGCCCGUCUUGAAACACGGACCAAGGAGUCUAACAUCUAUGCGAGUGUUUGGGUGUCAAGCCCGAGCGCGUAAUGAAAGUGAACGGAGGUGGGAACCCGCAAGGGUGCACCAUCGACCGAUCCUGAAGUUUACGGAAGGAUUUGAGUAAGAGCAUGGCUGUUGGGACCCGAAAGAUGGUGAACUAUGCUUGAAUAGGGUGAAGCCAGAGGAAACUCUGGUGGAGGCUCGCAGCGGUUCUGACGUGCAAAUCGAUCGUCAAAUUUGGGCAUAGGGGCGAAAGACUAAUCGAACC